rnacentral:pre_miRNA from 1 species
UAUAUACUCCCUCCAUCUGGAAAUACUUGUCAUCAAAAUGGAUAAAAGGGAUGUAUGUAGAUGUAUUUUAGUUUUAGAUACAUCCCUUUUUGUCCAUUUUGAUGACAAGUAUUUUCGGACGGAGGGAGUAUAAU